ACUGAGCUUUUUAAUUGGACGAACAUUUCUUGCUCCUGCACCUUCCACAGAAUAUAUAAAUACAGAUAAAUACAUUUAGACCACUUA